rnacentral:rRNA from 1 species
GACGAACGCUGGCGGCGUGCUUAACACAUGCAAGUCGAACGGAAAGGCCCUGCUUUUGUGGGGUGUUCGAGUGGCGAACGGGUGAGUAACACGUGAGUAACCUGCCCUUGACUUUGGGAUAACUUCAGGAAACUGGGGCUAAUACCGGAUAGGAGCUCCUGCUGCAUGGUGGGGGUUGGAAAGUUUCGGCGGUUGGGGAUGGACUCGCGGCUUAUCAGCUUGUUGGUGGGGUAGUGGCUUACCAAGGCUUUGACGGGUAGCCGGCCUGAGAGGGUGACCGGCCACAUUGGGACGGAGAUACGGCCCAGACUCCUACGGGAGGCAGCAGUGGGGAAUAUGGCACAAUGGGCGGAAGCCUGAUGCAGCAACGCCGCGUGCGGGAUGACGGCCUUCGGGUGGUAAACCGCUUUCGCCUGUGACGAAGCGUGAGUGACGGUAAUGGGGAAAGAAGCACCGGCUAACUACGU